rnacentral:rRNA from 1 species
CGCGUAUCCAACCUGCCCACCACUUGGGGAUAACCUUGCGAAAGUAAGACUAAUACCCAAUGAUAUCUCAAGAAGACAUCUGAAUGAGAUUAAAGAUUCAUCGGUGAUGGAUGGGGAUGCGUCUGAUUAGCUUGUUGGCGGGGUAACGGCCCACCAAGGCGACGAUCAGUAGGGGUUCUGAGAGGAAGGUCCCCCACAUUGGAACUGAGACACGGUCCAA